ensembl:snRNA U6 U6 spliceosomal RNA
UUGUACAUUAAGCAAUCUUUCUUUUUUUGGAAUGAUACAGAGAUUAGCAUGGCCCCUGCGCAAGGAUGACAUGCAAAUUUGUGAAGCAUUCCAUAUUUUU